AUUUAAGUAGCUUAAUAUUAAAGUUUGAUGUUGAAAAUGUCAUGAUAGGUAAUUCUCUUAAGUA
rnacentral:tRNA from 1 species